UACGUAGGGGGCAAGCGUUGUCCGGAAUUAUUGGGCGUAAAGCGCGCGCAGGCGGUCCUUUAAGUCUGAUGUGAAAGUCCACGGCUCAACCGUGGGAUUGCAUUGGAAACUGGGGGACUUGAGUGCAGUAGAGGAGAGUGGAAUUCCUGGUGUAGCGGUGAAAUGCGUAGAGAUCGGAAGGAACGCCCGUGGCGAAAGCGGGCUCCUGGACCCCACCUGACGCUGAGACGCGAAAGCCAGGGGAGCGAACGGG
rnacentral:rRNA from 1 species